UACGUAGGGUGCGAGCGUUAAUCGGAAUUACUGGGCGUAAAGCGUGCGAAGGCGGUUUUGUAAGCCAGAUGUGAAAUCCCCGGGCUUAACCUGGGAAUGGCAUUUGGGACUGCAAGGCUUGAGUGCGGCAGAGGAGACUGGAAUUCCUGGUGUAGCAGUGAAAUGCGUAGAUAUCAGGAGGAACACCGCUCGCGAAGGCAGGUCUCUGGGCUGACACUGACGCUCAUGCCCGAAAGCGUGGGGAGCAAACAGG
rnacentral:rRNA from 1 species